GUGUCACACAUAGAUUUAAACCAGGUGGACAUCAAUCUGUCUGAUAUGGACAGGAGACAGCAGCACUGCUCUGAUGACCUGCAGAGGAGAGGAGACAAACAGACAGAGGUACAGAAGACGUUACUUGAAUCACCUUCCACAACACAUGAAUAAUGACAUUUGUAAACCCAGUGAUCGUGGUGCCCUUUGUUUAAUGCAUGUCAACAAGACCCCGGGACAACACACUCCUUCUAAGGCUGAGAAACAGGUGUGUGGAAAUGUAUGACAGAUAAUGACGACAAUACGAGGGGGGGGGGUUCUCUCUGUAUGUAGACAUUGAACAAUGUUCUGUAUAGAUAUGACAUCAAUAAGACGAGGUUCUGUAUAGAUAUGACAUCAAUAAGACGAGGUUCUGUAUGUUCUGUAUAGAUAUGACAUCAAUAAGACGAGGUUCUGUAUAGAUAUGACAUCAAUAAGACGAGGUUCUGUAUGUUCUGUAUAGAUAUGACAUCAAUAAGACGAGGUUCUGUAUGUUCUGUAUAGAUAUGACAUCAAUAAGACAAGGUUCUGUAUAGAUAUGACAUCAAUAAGACAAGGUUCUGUAUGUUCUGUAUAGAUAUGACAUCGAUAAGACGAGGUUCUGUAUGUUCUGUAUAGAUAUGACAUCGAUAAGACGAGGUUCUGUAUGUUCUGUAUAGAUAUGACAUCGAUAA